rnacentral:lncRNA from 1 species
GGGGGCGGGGGCGGGUCAAGAACCUGAGGAAAGCGUAGCCCCAGUGUGGGAUGCUGGCCAACAGAGCCUUUGCCACACAAAGAAAUUGCUUCCCCUCUCCUAGGGUAUCUGGGACAUGAGAUGUUACUCAAGAAAGAAGUCAGGCUUGAACCAAGCAACCGGUGCUACUUGAGAACCGUCACAUCCAACUCUCCACCAACAGUUAAUGUAUUGUACCAAUAAACUCAAUAAAAAGAGAGAGAGAAAAAAAAAAAGAAUCCAGAGGUAGAAGAACCAGAAGAGGAGAAGCCCCAAAGGCUAAGUGGAGAAAAUGUUUCAGAAGAAAAGAAAGUGCCUCAGUGUGUUGUUUGCUACUGUGAGGCUGAGUAAGGUGAGACUUGACCUUUGUUUUUUCGUGGA